UACGGGGGGAGCAAGCGUUGUUCGGAUUUACUGGGCGUAAAGGGCGCGUAGGCGGCCACCGCAAGUCGGUUGUGAAAUCUCUGGGCUUAACCCAGAAAGGUCAACCGAUACUGCGGGGCUAGAGUGCAGGAGGGGCAACUGGAAUUCUCGGUGUAGCGGUGAAAUGCGUAGAUAUCGAGAGGAACACCUGCGGCGAAGGCGGGUUGCUGGGCUGACACUGACGCUGAAGCGCGAAAGCUAGGGGAGCGAACGGG
rnacentral:rRNA from 1 species